rnacentral:sRNA from 2 species
CGCCCGUCACACCAUGGGAGCUGGUAAUGCCCGAAGUCGGUUUUGUUAACUACGGAGACAACUGCCUAAGGCAGGGCCGGUGACUGGGGUGAAGUCGUAACAAGGUAUCCCUACAAGAACGUGGGGAUGGAUUACCUCCUUUCUACGGAGUACAAUUUACAAUUCAUUUUAGUAACAUUACACUUUAUAUGACUAUUUAAAUUUAAUAAAUGUUAUGUGCUUUUGAUAAUAGUCCAAAAGAUAUAUCUAGUUUUGAGAGAACUUUCUCUCAUUUGUUCUUUGAAAACUGAAUAGUAAAGAUAAAUUAAUAUAACAACGACAUCAAUAAAUAAAUUAGUCAAUUUGUUUUGUGAUACCGAGUUAAUUAUUAUAUUAAUAUAAUAAUUUAUUAAAAUGUCUUUGAAUACAUCAACAAUAGGUAAAUAUUGAUAACUUUUAAAUAAGUAAGAGUGAGUUGUGGAUGCCUUGGGUCUGGAAGUCGAUGAAGGACGUGAUUACCUGCGAUAAGCCUCGUGGAGCUGGAUAUAAGCUACGAAACGGGGAUUUCCGAAUGGGGAAACCUGGUUAGAGUAAUUUCUAACUGCAUUGGAAUGAAUAUAUAGUUCUAAUUAGCGAGACACGUUGUGAACUGAAACAUCUUAGUAGCAACAGGAAAAGAAAAUAAAUAAUGAUUCCAUCAGUAGCGGCGAGCGAAAUUGGAAGAGCCCAAACCAACUUAGUUGGGGUUGUAGGACUAUCUACAUAAAGUUACAAAUUUUUAUUAUAGCAGAAUAAGUUGGAAAACUUAAGCACAGAAGGUGAAACUCCUGUAUGUGAAAUAAUAAGAACUUUUGAUAGUAUCCUGAGUAGGGCGGGGCACGUGAAACCCUGUCUGAAUCUGCCGGGACCAUCCGGUAAGGCUAAAUACUAACCAGACACCGAUAGUGAACUA